ensembl:snoRNA
GCAUGGUAGUGGAUUUAUGGUGGGUCCUCCACUGUGGGCCUCUCAUAGUGUACCCAUGCCAGAGCAAACUGAGCCUUGAACCAUUGCCCAGUCUCCUUACCUGUGGGCUGUGAGCACUGAAGGGUGUUGUACAGUG